rnacentral:piRNA from 1 species
UCACACUGAAGAAUGGCCACAAAGAAUGCU